GAUGAACGCUGGCGGCGUGCCUAAUACAUGCAAGUCGAGCGAACAGAUGAGGAGCUUGCUCCUCUGACGUUAGCGGCGGACGGGUGAGUAACACGUGGAUAACCUACCUAUAAGACUGGGAUAACUACGGGAAACCGGAGCUAAUACCGGAUAAUAUAUUGAACCGCAUGGUUCAAUAGUGAAAGACGGUUUUGCUGUCACUUAUAGAUGGAUCCGCGCCGCAUUAGCUAGUUGGUAAGGUAACGGCUUACCAAGGCAACGAUGCGUAGCCGACCUGAGAGGGUGCUCGGCCACACUGGAACUGAGACACGGUCCAGACUCCUACGGGAGGCAGCAGUAGGGAAUCUUCCGCAAUGGGCGAAAGCCUGACGGAGCAACGCCGCGUGAGUGAUGAAGGUCUUCGGAUCGUAAAACUCUGUUAUUAGGGAAGAACAAAUGUGUAAGUAACUAUGCACGUCUUGACGGUACCUAAUCAGAAAGCCACGGCUAACUACGUG
rnacentral:rRNA from 1 species